UAGAAUUCAAUCAUAGUUUACAAUUAUUUUUCUUAGUAUUACAAUUCUAAAAUUCUCAUGACCAAAUAUUCAAUAGUUAAAUCCUUGUAUUUUUUAUAUAUAAUCUCUCCAGCCUAAUUUCAUUAUAAACCUAAUCUAAAUAUUUUAGAAAAAAAUAAAAAUAUAUCAUCUAAAUGUAAAUAUUAAUUUUAAUAUAUGAAUUUAAAAGAUUAAAAAACAUUUAAAUAUUUUGUUAUCAAACAGGAAAAAAAUCAUAAACCCAAUAAAAAAUAUACUGUUUGAUAUUAAAUAUAAAAAGGAUUUUAUUAAUUAUUAGUGAUGGCAUAGGCCAGAUUUAUAAUGUAUGGCCAAGAAGAAACAAAAUCUUUUCGUGCGAGGUCAAUGCUUUGACAACUCUGUGGUAGCCAAUAGGUAUGAUCCACGUUCUGCAAGAGAAAUUCUAAAUGUUAUGGAAUAAUCAUUUAUUUAAUGAUAAAUACACUUAUUUAGUUUAACUUGAGUGGUUAAAGGAGUGAUACAAUUAUUUUAACUGCCAAGCCUGCCUGGAAAUUUUUAAGUUUAUGCUAAGCUAAAUUAUCAAUUGAAAUAUAAAUAAUAUUGUAGUAUUUAAAAAAUAUAUAUAUAUACAUUAAAAUAAUAUUAUUUUUUUUAAUUUUAUUUUACAUAUAACGAUUUAAAAUAAAAAAAUAAUCUGAAAUAAAAAAAUAUAAAAAUAUUUUUAAAAUAUAAAAACAAAUAAACUUAAAAGGAAUGAAUUUUAUAAUCUGAUAAUUUAAGAAUUGUUUUAAAUUAAAUUUUAUUUUGAACUGUUUGUUUUUUAUACUGACGACCUAAUGAAUUGAUACUUAAGACUAUUGAAUUUUGUAAAAAAUAAUACUAUUAAAAAUAAUAAUAAUAAUUCACUCGGAUGUAUCUAGGCCUAAACUAGUUCAGAUUUCAGAGCCUGGGCCACAACUAUGCCUAUACUUAGAACUUUCUUCGCUAAAGUGCCUUGGGUUCAUGGUGGGCCUACUCUAAAUUAGUUGGGUUUUGGAGAUGUGAGUCUCUCGUAUUGAUUUCGGGCUUUUGAAACAAGCCUGCAAAAGUGGGCUUAUGUGGGCUUUGGUGACAGAUUUGAGAGCCAGGUGAGUGCAACGGAAGUGACCUGGGCGCAAAAAGCCUUAGAGCCUUUUUGGUGUGAUAGUAAUCUCGCUAUUAAAUAAAGAUUUAGAGACUAUUGAGAAAAGUCAAUUGUACCGUGUUUCAAAAUGAUAUUCGGAAUGUUUUUAGAAGUGUGAUAAUAUGAUUUUUUUUAAAAUAUAUCAAAUUUUUUUUUUUUAAAUAUAAUUUUUUGAUAUUAAAAUAAUCAUAAAAAAAUAAUUUGAAGCAAGAAAAAAAAUCAAAUUUACACCUACUUACAAGGGCUUGAUUAGCAACUCUAAGCUGCAAGGAUCCUAACAAUGUGUUUAGUGUAUGAGAAUAUUUGGGAAAUAAUUAAUAUUUUGUUCUUCAAUAUAUCAAGAGAGAGAAUUUAGUUAACGAACUUGUGUUCAUAUAUUUUUUUAAAAAAUAUAAUAUAUUUAAGAAUAAUAAUAAUAAUAAUGUUUUUUAAAGUAUUUUUUAUUUGAAAAUUUAUUAAAAAAUAGUUUUUUAUUUUUUAAAAAUUAUUUUUAAUAUAAAAAAUAAUUUAAAAAUACUUUUGAAAAUAAAAACAAACAUAUUAAGAAUUACUUUAGUGAUGACUCUAGAAUUCGAACCUUGUAUAUCAAGAUGAAAACAUACUUUCCUGACCACCGACCAUGCUUUCUCAGAUUGAAACUGUGUUUUAAACAUGAAAUGAAGAUUCAGAACUGGCCGUACGAGGCGGCGACUCUUAGGUUGUCAGACAGGAGAAGGUAAUUCAACGUGGGGGUGUUGCCAUGAGCAUGAAGCAAGAAAAGGGAGGAGGCAAUCCUUGAAGAAGAAGAAGAGUACAAGGACUCGU
rnacentral:lncRNA from 1 species